rnacentral:rRNA from 1 species
GAUCAUGGCUCAGGACGAACGCUGGCGGCGCGCCUAACACAUGCAAGUCGAACGAGCGAGAAGAGAGCUUGCUUUCUCAAGCGAGUGGCGAACGGGUGAGUAACGCGUGAGGAACCUGCCUCAAGGAGGGGGACAACAGUUGGAAACGACUGCUAAUACCGCAUAAGCCCACGGCUCGGCAUCGAGCAGAGGGAAAAGGAGCAAUCCGCUUUGAGAUGGCCUCGCGUCCGA